rnacentral:misc_RNA from 1 species
GUUGGAAGUUUGUAUGAGAGUCCCAUGUUUUUGACGUAAGAGACUUGAAAUUUAAAAUGUAUACCUUAUAGAUGAUGAGAAGGUGUCCAAAUAAUGAAUCUUUAGAAAUCAACUCCCUUUUGGGGUUAAAACGGGGGAUGGUAGGUUUACUCACUCAUCACGAAAUCUCCGAAACUAUAACACCUACAAACUUGAAAUUUGGCAGGUAGGUUUCUUAUAGGGCG